GACGAACGCUGGCGGCGUGCUUAACACAUGCAAGUGGAGCGACGAACCGGGGCUUGCCCCGGGGCAGAGCCGCGAACGGGUGAGUAACACGUGGGUAACCCACCCGAUGACCGGGACAACCCGAGGAAACUCGGGCUAAUACCGGAUGUGCUCCUUGACCUCGAGGUCAAGGCGUAAAGAUAGCUUCGGCCUUCGCAUCGGGACGGGCCCGCGGCCCAUUAGCUUGUUGGUGGGGUAAAGGCCUACCAAGGCGACGANGGGUAGCUGGUCUGAGAGGCGACCGGCCACACUGGGACUGAGACACGGCCCAGACUCCUACGGGAGGCAGCAGUGGGGAAUCUUGCGCAAUGGGCGAAAGCCUGACGCAGCGACGCCGCGUGA
rnacentral:rRNA from 1 species